GAAAUGCGAUAAGUAAUGUGAAUUGCAGAAUUCAGUGAAUCAUCGAAUCUUUGAACGCACCUUGCGCUCCUUGGUAGUCCGAGGAGCAUGCCUGUUUGAGUGUCAUGAAAUUAUCAGAAUCCUAACUUGUGUUGGGAUUUUUGGAUUUAUGGAGGAUUUUGCUGCUGGAAAUCAGCUCCUCUGAAAUGUAUUAGCCAGAAAGACCUAUAUGCUAAUUAGUUUGGUGUGAUAAUACUUAUUUCUACACCUUCAUUGAGUGAAUAGGUUUUGGCUUCUAAUUGUCCGCUUCAUUGGGACAACUCUUUGAUAUUUGACCUCAAAUCAGGUAGGACUACCCGCUGAACUUAA
rnacentral:rRNA from 1 species